UACGUAGGGUGCAAGCGUUGUCCGGAAUUAUUGGGCGUAAAGAGCUCGUAGGCGGUCUGUCGCGUCUGCUGUGAAAACUCAGGGCUUAACCCUGAGCUUGCAGUGGGUACGGGCAGACUAGAGUGCGGUAGGGGAGACUGGAAUUCCUGGUGUAGCGGUGAAAUGCGCAGAUAUCAGGAGGAACACCGGUGGCGAAGGCGGGGUCUCUGGGCCGGUACUGACGC
rnacentral:rRNA from 1 species